rnacentral:rRNA from 1 species
AACCUCCGCAAUGUGAGAAAUCGCGACGGGGGGAUCCCAAGUGCCAUUCUUAACGGGAUGGCUUUUCAUUAGUGUAAAGAGCUUUUGGAAUAAGAGCUGGGCAAGACCGGUGCCAGCCGCCGCGGUAACACCGGCAGCUCUAGUGGUAACAAUUUUUAUUGGGCCUAAAGCGUCCGUAGCCGGUUUAAUAAGUCUCUGGUGAAAUCCUGCAGCUUAACUGUGAGAAUUGCUGGAGAUACUAUUAGACUUGAGACCGGGAGAGGUUAGAGGUACUCCCAGGGUAGAGGUGAAAUUCUGUAAUCCUGGGAGGACCGCCUGUUGCGAAGGCGUCUAACUGGAACGGUUCUGACGGUGAGGGACGAAAGUUAGGGGCGCGAACCGGAUUAGAUACCCGGGUAGUCCUAACUGUAAACGAUGCGGACUUGGUGUUGGGGUGGCUUUGAGCUGCUUCAGUGCCGAAGGGAAGCUGUUAAGUCCGCCGCCCGGGAAGUACGGUCGCAAGACUGAAACUUAAAGGAAUU